AACCCCAGGAGAGUAACCUCUACGAGUCUUGUGUUUUAUUUUAAUUCUAUUUUGAGAAUUGAAUUCUGUAGUGACAGUCUAAAUAGAAACUGUGGUCCAGAGCAGUCUGAGUGCAACAUUUCAGGGGCCAGUGUUAAUUUCCUCACUGUGAAGGCACGCGGACCAAGGCACAACGUUAAUGUCAGGUCUGUGACAGUUUCAUUUGCCACUUUCAGCCACAAGUAACAUUGCUUUGGGAUCCUGUUCUCAGUGAAAAUUCCUUCUCGCUUGGUUUCAGAAAUUCAUCUCCCAUCCAUGACCUCUCCACUACCAUUGAGAAUGCAGUUGUGUCCCUGGCUUGGACUGCAAUGAACCUGGGUGUGAUACAGGGUGACCAGCUGUCUGUCGCUGCCAACAUUGCUGUGACAACCCACUCCUUCAGAUGAAUUCUCCAUUAAUUUUCUGGUCUAUCAGGAUCAGAAGUUCAUUCCUCACCCAGAAGACAGCACAGAUUCUGGUCCAGGCUCUUGUCAUCACGAUAGAUUACUGCAACUCGCCCCUGGCUGGUGUGCCUGCAUGUGCCAUCCGACCCCUGAAACUCAUCCAGAAUGCAGCAGCCCAGCUGGUCUUCAGUUUACCCAUGUUUUCCCACACUGCACCGAUCCUCUGUGCCGUGUACUCUGUUUAAAACAUCCAGGGGGUCUUCCAUCCACAAUAUGGAUCCACAAAUUGUCUGUCAAGUAUGGAAGAAAAACCAGUGAUGCUGUUCAACUACUGUCACUGCUAAUUCCCCUUCAUUUCAUUUUUCACAAUAACGCAACAGCUUAUAAUACAGCUGUUUAUCUUUGACAUUUCUGCUUACUCACAUGAAUGCAUGAAUGUAAAAUAGUGAUUUUAUCAAGGUCUCAGUGCAGGAGUUAGCAUUAGCUUUUUGUAUUUCAACAUCUUUACAAGUAUUGAGCAAUUUGCUGUCCAUAACAUACAAUCAGAAGUAAUCAAAUCAACCACACAGUUAGAAAGGUGACAGCAUGGACCUUUUGUUGUUAGCCAACUGCUAAACUAAAACAAGAUUAAGCAAGAAAGUUUCUGUUGGCUUAAGUGUUUUUGUUUACAGUGUUUAUUUGUUUUAUUUAUUUGUUCAGUACAAAUGACAAGGACCAACGAUGUCUCACACCCCCCACCCGACUUUCCCAGACCCUUCCCAAUAGCACAAAAACAGGACAUCAAACUGUACCAAAAUAAAUAUACAAAAAAAGAUAUAGAUAAAUAAAAUGUACAUUUAAAAUAAAAAAGGUGUAAACUCUA